UGGGGAAUUUUGGACAAUGGGCGAAAGCCUGAUCCAGCAAUGCCGCGUGUGUGAAGAAGGCCUUCGGGUUGUAAAGCACUUUUGUCCGGAAAGAAAUCCUUGGCUCUAAUACAGUCGGGGGAUGACGGUACCGGAAGAAUAAGCACCGGCUAACUACGUGCCAGCAGCCGCGGUAAUACGUAGGGUGCAAGCGUUAAUCGGAAUUACUGGGCGUAAAGCGUGCGCAGGCGGUUUGCUAAGACCGAUGUGAAAUCCCCGGGCUCAACCUGGGAACUGCAUUGGUGACUGGCAGGCUAGAGUAUGGCAGAGGGGGGUAGAAUUCCACGUGUAGCAGUGAAAUGCGUAGAGAUGUGGAGGAAUACCGAUGGCGAAGGCAGCCCCCUGGGCCAAUACUGACGCUCAUGCACGAAAGCGUGGGGAGCAAACAGGAUUAGAUACCCUGGUAGUCCACGCCCUAAACGAUGUCAACUAGUUGUUGGGAUUCAUUUCCUUAGUAACGUAGCUAACGCGUGAAGUUGACCGCCUGGGGAGUACGGUCGCAAGAUUAAAACUUCAAAUGAAUUGACGGGGUCAUAGCUGUUUCCU
rnacentral:rRNA from 1 species